AUUUACAACUGUUUUAUUGCAAAAAUUGAAAGGAAAAUUAAUGCAAGAUGAAUAACAAUUCAAUUUUAAAUUAUGCAAUAAAAAGUCAUUAUAUUUAAUACAUAAUUAGAUCUGACCUAAAAAUAGAGUACACAUCAUCAUGUUAAUGCAGUAUUUUCCAAAUUGUAGGAAAAACUGUGGGGCACACCUCACUAGGGGGUGCGAGUUAUUCCAAGGGGGCAUGCAAGAAUUAAUUGAAACCUUAUUUUUGAUACAAACAAGCAAAAAUAAAUUGAAAUUGAUAUUGAAAAAAAUAAAUCAGCCAAAGGUUUAUAAAUACAGUACAUAUAUCUGUGUAUUCAGAAAAUUUCUGCUGUAGCUGUUUUAAAGUCAAAAUAAUAAUCUUG
rnacentral:lncRNA from 1 species